UAAACUUCUGGUGGAUUUCUAUAAUUGAACUAUGAAGGGGUGCUUCCGGCUUAUCUUGCCCUUUUGACUGAAAAAGGUGAUGCAAGAAGUCUACGUUAGGCUUACCUUUGAGCAUUCAGUUCCUGUACUUUUGAUUGAUAUGCACAGAAAAUUGGAAGAUUGGUUUAUGCAGUCAACUGGAAUAUUCAAAUGCUGUUGCUAUUUGAUCUACUCAACUGAAGUAAAAAUGAAAAUUGUUUAGUUUUCUGUGAAAUUUUCUAGCUGUAUUCAACAAUGUGUUUGCUUGUUUUUUUCCACUUACGCCACCUUAUAGAUGCUUUUCAGAACUGAAACAGAAAGUAAAGACCCAUAAAUAGAUACACUUUCAUUUACUGAGCUGAGGGACAAGCUGCUUGCCCUUGAUCCUCUAGAUAUAGAUCAUGUGGUGAAAAUCAAUAAAGCGGAAGCUGAGUAUUGGAAGAAGUCAGAAGGGUAUCGCAUGGGCUGGAGUGAUGAAAUACUAGGCUUCGAUUGUGGUGGGCAGCAGUGGGUUUCUGAAAACUUCUUCCCCACCGGAACCCUAGCAAAGCCAAGUAUGAAGGAUCUUGAUUAUAUAGAUAAGCUGUUGCAGUUGAUUGAAAGGAGGAGAUACCCGCACCUGGACCUAUUGAGCAGCGUUGGACUGCUCGCAGCAAGAGCCCGAUGAGCCCGGGAUCAAGCUCUGAAGAAGAUGAUGUAUUUUCAUGGGUUGGUAUUAUAAUGUAUCUGCCAACAUCUGAUGCUCGCCAAAGGAAGGAAAUCACAGAAGAGUUCUUCAGUUACAGGAGCCUGACACGAAGUCUCUGGGAUGAUUAUUCCGCCUAUGAACACUGGACCAAGAUCAAGGUGCCGACUAGCUUCAAGAUUAAUUAUUUAGACACUGUUUGUGUUCUUCCUAUUUUCCCUAGGCUUCAGAAGUGAAAAUAGCAUAAGUUCCAAAAGACAAGGACGAACUUGCCGAACUCCAGGCCCGGCUGAGGAAGCGUUUCCCUAUGGAUGCAUAUAACAAGGCACGUAUGGAGCUGGACCCCAACAAGGUGCUCUCAAACGCCAAGUUGGAGAAGAUGUUCCUAGUGUUGGAGCCUGCUCACCAGACAAAGUAAUCUCUACUACUCCUUCCCGGCGAGGAAUGGUCGCAGAAGGAACUGCUCCACGAUGGAGGACG